GUGGGGAAUAUUGGACAAUGGGCGAAAGCCUGAUCCAGCCAUGCCGCGUGUGUGAAGAAGGUCUUCGGAUUGUAAAGCACUUUAAGUUGGGAGGAAGGGCAGUAAGUUAAUACCUUGCUGUUUUGACGUUACCGACAGAAUAAGCACCGGCUAACUUCGUGCCAGCAGCCGCGGUAAUACGAAGGGUGCAAGCGUUCAUCGGAAUUACUGGGCGUAAAGCGCGCGUAGGUGGUUUUGUAAGUUGGAGGUGAAAUCCCCGGGCUCAACCUGGGAACUGCCUCCAAAAGUGCAUGACUAGAGUACGGUAGAGGGUAGUGGAAUUUCCUGUGUAGCGGUGAAAUGCGUAGAUAUAGGAAGGAACACCAGUGGCGAAGGCGACUACCUGGACUGAUACUGACACUGAGGUGCGAAAGCGUGGGGAGCAAACAGGAUUAGAAACCCCAGUAGUCC
rnacentral:rRNA from 1 species